GACGAACGCUGGCGGCGUGCUUAACACAUGCAAGUCGAGCGGGAAACUUCGGUUUCCAGCGGCGGACGGAUGAGUAACACGUGGGCAACCUGCCUCACAAUGAGGGAUAGCCUUCCGAAAGGAAGAUUAAUACCUCAUAACACAAGAGAAACGCAUGUUUCUUUUGCCAAAGAAUUUCGUUGUGAGAUGGGCCCGCGGCGCAUUAGCUUGUUGGUGAGGUAACGGCUCACCAAGGCUUCGAUGCGUAGCCGACCUGAGAGGGUGAUCGGCCACGUUGGAACUGAGACACGGUCCAGACUCCUACGGGUGGCAGCAGUGGGGAAUAUUGCACAAUGGAGGAAACUCUGAUGCAGCAACGCCGCGUGAGUGAUGAAGGUCUUCGGAUUGUAAAGCUCUGUCUUCUGGGACGAUAAUGACGGUACCAGAGGAGGAAGCCACGGCUAACUACGUGCCAGCAGCCGCGUAA
rnacentral:rRNA from 1 species